rnacentral:rRNA from 1 species
AUGGUCCCCGGAAAGCUUCCCUCACCGACCUGCGAUCGUGGGCAGAGCAAAUCCUAUGGAAUCUUCAACCACAGAAGCCCGUCAUCACACCGCGGCCACGUAAAUCAAGGAAGGCCGUCGGCGGGACCUACUCCUCUCUCCCGUCGCUUUUCGCCGCGUCUGGGCCGAGGAGACGGUGGUCACGCUGGCCCCGUGGAGUCGUCGGCGCCGCAUCAAGGUGUGAACACCGCCUCUGGCCAGCCGACGCUUCUGCAGCAAGUGAGGGGUAAGAAGCCAAGGGUGGCCGAGAAGGACGGCGGGGCCCAACUGGUCCCCACCGAAACCUUGUUACGAACCACACCGUGCGGUCAGGGUCUUAGGGCUCGGACGGUGGAGAUCUUGGACACGGCGUACGGGCUGAAGGUGUCAGAGGAGAAUCUGGACAAAUUGUGCUACAAGAGGUAUGUGCAGCGCGCGCAGGAAAUUAUGCAGCGGGAAGCCAGCGAGCCGGGUUUUAAUAAAAAUGAGGUUGGGGGGAACCCAUUUUCAUCAAAAAAAGCCAACGAGCCGGCCGGACGCGUCGCGGCCAAGAUUCCCAAGGGAAAGGAGCCCGUAACGUCCCAAUAUCAUGUACUCGAGUCAGCUGACGUGCCAGCGGCCCACAUCAACCUUAUCAUCGUCAGCGACGACGACGAUGAGGAGGAGGAGGAGGCGGCUAACAAGGUCGCCGCUGAGACCAACAACUCCUCUGUGAACAUCGUGGAUCCUCGUGUGGUAGCAGCUGUGGCGAUUGCGCCAGUCCCUCCUGCUGCGACUUCUGCACCGGCUCCAAUUACCCCGGUGGCCGGGGCGCCUAUGGCCUUUGCAACAGAUUCGGCUACCCCUGCUACUUAUGGCCAUGGCCAUGGCGCCGACGGCGUCUGCGCACGUGGGAUCAAAAGGCCACACGCUCAUGAUGCAAUCUUUGCACCGGCUCCGGGCGCGGGGGCGCCAGUGGGCUUUGCACCAGCUCUGGCUACCCCUGCUGCUUCCGAUCAUGGGAACAUGGGCAGGAUGGCCGAGGAACUGCAGGACAUCGAGGCCGUAUCCGCCUCCAUGGCCCAGGCGAUAUAUCGCCGCUCGGUGAGCGCCAGGUCGAACCUGCCACGGUGGGGGUGUCACGGCCUGCGAACCCCCAAGACCCGUUCGGCCCCUGCACAUUGCAGUUUGCCGAUGAAACGCAACACCACGGGACCAGCCCCUGCCUAUGCUGGUUCCUCAUCCCGUGCCCCUGUUGCUUCGGGCUCCUCAUUCCGUGCCCCUGCUGCUAAAAUCACCAGCUCCACUCCGGGCUCCACAUUCCGUGCUCUUUCCGCUAACAUCAGCAGCUCCGCUCCGGGCUCCUCAUCCCAUGCUCCUCCUGCUAAAAUCACCAGCUCCAUUCCGGGCUCCUCAUCUCGUGCCCCUCCUGCUAAAAUCAUCAGCUCCUCUUCGGGCUNNNNNNNCUCCGCCCCUCCUGCUAACAUCAGCAGCUCCGCUCCGGGCUCCUCAUCCCGUGCCCUUCCUGUUAACAUUAGCAGCUCCGCUCCGGGCUCCUCAUUAUGUGCCCUUCCUGUUGACAUCAGCAGCUCCGCCCCUCCUGCUAACAUCAGCAGCUCCGCUCCGGGCUCGUCAUCCCGUGCCCCUCCUGCUAACGUCAGCAGCUCCGCUCCGGGCAUGGCUAUGCCGGAGCAAGGGAAUGGGAUUCGUGGCUUCGUCCGCCUCUUCGGCGUCGACAUUGCCCUCGUCCGCCUCUUCGGCGUCGACAUUGCCCCGCGGGAGUAG